CCUUUAUCUUCCCCUUGGAAAAAAGUGGUGAAGUGGAGCAGAGUGGUCGCCAUGUCUGUGGCAGAGUGGUGGUGACGUAUAUCAUUCACGUCGAGAGCAGCGAGGGGCUGUAGUUCAAAAAGCGACCUCACAAAAACCUAACAUUAUCAAACUUCCUCGCAAUUUUCUUUUGUUUUCUUUGCAUGAAGAUUUUUAAUUUAAAUCCACAAACAACAUAUGUGUAAUCCAGCACAUAUAAAGACGGGGACCAGAAAAUAAUUACUUUCUCUCCAAUGAAACCCAUUCAUAUUUUUCGAUCUCAGAGGUCCCAUGAGGGGCCUACCGGAAGGGGCGGACUUACGAGCUCUAUGACGCUGCUCUCGAGCGACAUAUAGCUAGGACUGCUAAUCUUACAAGCAUUCUGAAGAUCGAUUGUCGGCAGUCGAUCUAGUCAUUCUAUCGCUGUAACUUUUCUCUCGUGUUGCAAUGGACAAGUUGUUUGACCUGGAUCUCCGUGACCCCCGCGCAGAAGGAAGACACCUUGCCAUUGGGUUGAUGCAUGACCAAUUCCUUGCUGAAGCCAUGGAGGCUGCGGAGAAUGUCAAUCGGGCAAGAUCUGGAGGGGAUUCACCACGGAGCUCAACCAAACAGAGCGGACGCGGCAAGGCCGGAGCGGACGCGGCAAGGCCAGAGGGAGACGUGGAGGCCGUGCGGGCCAUACAGGCCGUGCAGACCGAUGGAGUGGCCUAACUACAGGCAUGGACACUGAGGUGUUGGCACUUCCUUCAGAGGAUUCCUUGCCCUUACACUGA